CAGAGAACAACGAGGCCGUGGGCCGCCCGCACUGGGCGGCUCCCGGUCGCGCUCUUCUACCUUGCCUAUCGUACCAUUCGUUACUUCCUGGCGGCGGACUGCCUGCCGCCAGGGACAGUAAAAACCCUUUUGUAUAAGCAUUGAAGUCCUGAAAAAGAACAAAUCGUA
rnacentral:misc_RNA from 1 species